rnacentral:rRNA from 1 species
CGGAUGGGUGAGUAACACGUGGGUAACCUGCCCUGUACUGGGGAAUAACAGUUGAACGACUGUUAAUGCCGCAUAUGCGCACGUUGCCGCAUGGUAGCGGGCGGAAAGGAUUUUAUCGGGUACAGGGAUGGGGCCCGCGCCGGAUUAACUAGUUGCGGGGUAACAGCCCACCAAGGUGAUGAUCCGUAGCCGACCUGAGAGGGUGACCGGCCACAUUGGGACUGAGACACGGCCCAAACUCCUACGGGAGGCAGCAGUGGGGGAUAUUGCACAAUGGGGGAAACCCUGAUGCAGCGACGCCGCGUGAAGGAUGACGUAUUUCGGUAUGUAAACUUCUAUCAGCGGGGAAGAAGAUGACGGUACCCGACUAAGAAGCCCCGGCUAACUACGUGCCAGCAGCCGC